rnacentral:rRNA from 1 species
CUACGGGUGGCAGCAGUGGGGAAUAUUCGGCAAUGGGCGAAAGCCUGACCGAGCCAUGCCGCGUGAGUGAUGAAGGCCUUAGGGUUGUAAAACUCUUUCGCCGGUGAAGAUAAUGACGGUAACCGGUAAAGAAGCCCCGGCUAAUUUCGUGCCAGCAGCCGCGGUAAUACGAAAGGGGCAAGCAUUGUUCGGAAUUACUGGGCGUAAAGCGCGCGUAGGCGGCCUAUCAAGUUAGGGGUGAAAUCCCGGAGCUCAACUCCGGAACUGCCUCUAAAACUGAUAAGCUAGAGGAUGCGAGAGGAAAGUGGAAUUCCGAGUGUAGAGGUGAAAUUCGUAGAUAUUCGGAAGAACACCAGUGGCGAAGGCGACUUUCUGGCGCAUAUCUGACGCUGAGGUGCGAAAGCGUGGGGAGCAAACAGGAUUAGAUACCCCUGUAGUC